ACCAACACUAGCCUGACCUCACCCUCUCCCAAUAAAUAUAUAAUAUUCAACUAAACCAUUUACCAUAAAACACUUAAUAGUAUAGGAGAUAGAAAUUUCACUCAGCGCUAUAGAAAAAGUACCGUAAGGGAAAGAUGAAAGAAUUCCUCACAGUAUAAAAUAGCAAAGCCUACACCUUGUACCUUUUGCAUAAUGACUUAGCCAGAAAUAACCUGACAAAAAGAAUUUUAGCCAAAGAACCCGAAACUAGACGAGCUACCCACAAAUAGUUAUAUAAGAACACACUCAUCUAUGUAGCAAAAUAGCGAGAAAAUCUGUGAGUAGAGGUGAAAAGCCUAACGAGCCUAGUGAUAGCUGGUUGUCCAAGAAAGAAUUUUAGUUCAACCUUAAAUUUGCCUAAAGUACCCUAAAACCCAACGCAAACUUAAACGUUAUUCUAAAGGGGAACAGCUCUUUAGAUUGGGUUACAACCCUUAGUAGAGAGUAAGCAACUACAACACCAUUGUUGGCCUAAAAGCAGCCAUCAACUAAGAAAGCGUUAAAGCUCAACAUAUAAAAACUAUUAAUCCCAACACCCUAUACCAACUCCCACUAAUCAACUGGACCAACCUAUUAUUCAAUAGAAGCAAUACUGCUAAUAUAAGUAACAAGAAUCCCCAUUCUCCUGGCGUAAGCUUAUAUCAGACCGAAUACCCACUGAUAAUUAACAGUAAAGUAUAAACAAAUACAUCUUAAACUCUUACUUUAACCAACUGUUAACCCAACACAGGCACGCACUAAGGAAAGAUUAAAAAAAGUAAAAGGAACUCGGCAAAACCAAACCCCGCCUGUUUACCAAAAACAUCACCUCUAGCAUGACUAAUAUUAGAGGCACUGCCUGCCCAGUGACAUGUGUUUAACGGCCGCGGUAUCCUGACCGUGCAAAGGUAGCAUAAUCACUUGUUCUUUAAUUAAGGACUCGAAUGAACGGCUACACGAGGGUUUAACUGUCUCUUACUUUUAAUCAGUGAAAUUGACCUCCCCGUGAAGAGGCGGGGAUGAUAUAAUAAGACGAGAAGACCCUAUGGAGCUUAAAUUAAAUAACCCACACAGAUAAAACAAAUACAACAAUAGACAUAACACCAUCAUUCUUGGGUUAAAAAUUUCGGUUGGGGUGACCUCGGAGCAAACAUAACCUCCGAACCAUUUUAACCUAGACCUUACCAGUCAAAGUAAUCCCACUAUCAGACUGAUCCAAUCAAUUUGAUCAACGGAACAAGUUACCCUAGGGAUAACAGCGCAAUCCUAUUACAGAGUCCAUAUCGACAAUAGGGUUUACGACCUCGAUGUUGGAUCAGGACACCCCAAUGGUGUAACCGCUAUUAACGGUCCGUUUGUUCAACGGUUAAAGUCCUACGUGAUCUGAGUUCAGACCGGAGUAAUCCAGGUCGGUUUCUAUCUAUUUAAACGUUUCUCCCAGUACGAAAGGACAAGAGAAACAGAGCCAACUCAAUAAAGAGCCCUCGGGUCAAAUAGAUGAAAGAAACUUAAUCUAAUGUGCCAUCUUACUAUCCCUACCCUAAAUAAGGGUUU
rnacentral:rRNA from 1 species